rnacentral:sRNA from 1 species
CAGCAUCGGGGUGCUGAAGAACAUGUCCCAGCGCAUCGGAGGGGAGCUGGAGGAACAGGCAGUAUUAGCCUCCCCAAAAGAAGCAAUUCUACUUCGUAAAUUUUACUACAGGCUUUAGGUGAAGUUGUUAUUAUUUUUAAACACCUCCAAAAACAGACACAGAUUUCUCUGAGCAGAUACUCGAAGUAUAGUUAUGAAUGGGAAUAUGAAACAGAGAAGCCUCUGUAACCUGUGGGAAUUUUUGUUCCAGAGAGGAUAGGACAUGAGCUGACUUUAUCAUCCCAUGACUCUCCCGCUAUAUUGAACAGACACGUUUUGCUUUGAAUCUUAAAUUAUUGUACCUUUGUUUUUUUUUUAAAAAAACUUACAAAUUUAACGCCAGUUAACAAAAACUCUUUCCUCUCAGAAAAAUAAAUAAAAACAAAACAUAA